UACGAAGGGGGCUAGCGUUGCUCGGAAUCACUGGGCGUAAAGCGCACGUAGGCGGCUUUCUAAGUCAGGGGUGAAAUCCUGGAGCUCAACUCCAGAACUGCCUUUGAUACUGGAGAGCUUGAGUCCGGAAGAGGUGAGUGGAACUCCGAGUGUAGAGGUGAAAUUCGUAGAUAUUCGGAAGAACACCAGUGGCGAAGGCGGCUCACUGGUCCGGUACUGACGCUGAGGCGCGAAAACGUGGGGAGCAAACAGG
rnacentral:rRNA from 1 species